rnacentral:rRNA from 1 species
AUUGAACGCUGGCGGCAGGCCUAACACAUGCAAGUCGAACGAGUGGCGGACGGGUGAGUAAUGCCUGGGAAACUGCCCGAUGGAGGGGGAUAACUACUGGAAACUGUAGCUAAUACCGCAUACCAUCGGAUGAGCCCAGGUGGGAUUAGCUAGUUGGUGGGGUAAAGGCUCACCAAGGCGACGAUCCCUAGCUGGUCUGAGAGGAUGACCAGCCACACUGGAACUGAGACACGGUCCAGACGCCUACGGGAGGCAGCAGUGGGGAAGAUUGCACAAUGGGGGCAAGCCUGAUGCAGCCAUGCCGCGUGAAUGAAGAAGGCCUUCGGGUUGUAAAGUACUUUCGGUGAGGAGGCGUUACCCGCAGAAGAAGCACCGGCUAACUCCGUGCCAGCAGCCGCGGUAAUAC